UUUGUAGGAACCACACCUGAGACGCAACUCAUCAAGCUUUUGUUAGCCAAGUCCCGUGUGUUGCUGAGAAUACUAAUUGAUACACGUUAUCUACCUGAUAAACCUCUUGACACAAGAUCAAAAAUAUUUGCCAAGGUCUCAAAUUUUUUGAUAGCAUCACCUAAAGCAUAAGUAGUCUACAUAGAUUUUUAAGCAGAUCAAUUAUUGGCUUACAAGUUGAAAUUGAAAUG
rnacentral:misc_RNA from 1 species